UGCUUUGAUUAACAUCUCGAUUUCAAUUCAAAAUCUAAAGAAUUUCACGCUCCAAACACUGAUCGCUCGUCUUUUAAAAUUCUCCCCUUUCUCUUUAAAAAAAAAAAUAAUUGACAGUCAUUUAACAAAUGUCAAAAAAAUUUUUGGUUAAUGUUUUGAAUAAAUUGAAGGUAAAUAGGGAAAUGUUUUAUUGUGGUUAUAAGGAGAGAAUUAUGAGGUUUAUUGACUGGCUAGAUGAAAAACGCCUCCACUGUGUCUAGUCUAUACUCGUGCCUAUAUAUGAUUGAAAGGAACGCCCGCAGGCUUUUCAAACAUCGUUAUACGAGCGAGUCACCCUUGAACCUCGUUACACGCAGUCGUCUCAACACCUUCGGCUUUUGAAACGCGUUGUAAACGCACGUGCCACAAAUAACAAAAUAACCCUCUCUUUUGUCUGCAACUAUUAAAGACGCCAAUUAACAUGAAAAAACUUCAGGGCAAAAGAAAUCGAUUAGGUCAGCCUAUAAAGUGUCCAGGAUUAUGUAAUUCAUUAAAUGAAAAUAUAAUUGAUACUAAUACAUCAGAAAUAAAUCAUGAUUGUAAAAAUAGAAAAAAACAAUUGAUAAUUUUACGACGAUUACCAGAGAAUUUGAAAAAUAUUCAAAAAAUCAAGAAAACUGGAUGUUUCAUUCAUUAUAUGAAAAUUUUCUUUUUUUACAUUAUUUUACAUUCAUUAAUUGCUGCAUUUAUUCGACAUCAUAAAUAUUAUCCACAUUUUCUUGCUGCACAACUUUGUGGCUUAUUGACAAUUUCAUUGUUUCCCAUUUUGAACAGAUGUCGAAAUUGCAGUUAAUUCUUGAAUGUAUAUAUAUAAUACCAGAUAUAUAUAAUUCUUGUUAAAGUUUAUAUCAUUUAAAUAUAUACAUUCAUCUCUA